GAUCAUUGUCAAAACCACUCUAACGAAUCACCCUCUCUAGGAUUUGAUCCACCACAUGACGGUGUUGAACAUGGAUACUAUGAUGAGGAUGAUGAUGAUGACUUUGAUCUUGAUGAUGCAAUGAGACACUUUGGUCUUAUGGCAAAUCUUCGGGGAUAUAUGUCAGGAGGAAAGGAAUGGGUUCUUGAUAGUGGAUGUACCGAUCACAUGACCGGAGAUAAAGACAUGUUUCGUGAGCUUGCUGAUAAUGAUAGUCCUCAAAAGUAUGUCACCUUCGGUGACAACUCAAAGGGUAAGGUGGUUGGCCUUGGUAAGGUGGCCAUCUCACAUGAUAGCUCCAUACAAAAUGUCAUGCUCGUUGAAUCUCUUGGAUACAACUUACUUUCAGUAUCUAGACUUGCUGACUUUGGUUUCAGUGUCUUAUUUACUAAAGUUGAUUGCCAAGUGUUUCGUCGAGACAAUCAUAAAAUGGUCUUUACCGGUAUACGUAGAGGUGAUUUAUACAUUAUUGAUUUCACUAAAAAGGCCCAACCUAAAACUUGCUUCAUUGCUAAAUCCUCAAAAGGUUGGUUAUGGCAUAGACGACUAGGUCACGUUGGCAUGAGAAACCUUGACAAGCUUAUUAAAGGAAAUCAUAUCCUUGGUGUCAACGAUGUCAUAUUUGAUAAGGAUAGACUUUGUAGUGCUUGUCAAGCAGGUAAACAGGUUGGAGGAAGGCAUCCCGUGAAGAACAUCAUGACCACAAGGAGGCCACUUGAGCUACUUCACAUGGAUCUCUUUGGUCCCAACUCUUACAAGAGUCUCGGUGGAAAUUCUUUUGGUCUAGUUAUAGUUGAUGAUUUUUCAAGAUUUACGUGGGUGUUCUUUCUCGAUGAUAAAUCACAGGUCCAAAAGAUCUUCAAGAACUUCGCUAGGAAGGCCCAAAAUCAAUUUGAAGUGAAGAUCAAGAAGGUUCGCAGCGACAACGGAACGGAAUUCAAGAACGCAAAUGUGGACACCUUUCUUGACGAAGAAGGGAUUUCACACGAGUUCUCGGCUACGUACACACCUCAACAAAAUGGAGUUGUUGAGAGGAAGAACCGGACGCUCAUCAAAAUGGCGAGAAUGAUGCUUGAUGAGUACAAGACACCGAAGCACUUUUGGGCAGAAGCGGUUGAGACAGCUUGUCAUGCAACAAAUCGCUUGUAUCUUCACAAGCUACUCGGCAAGACGGCAUACGAGCUCCUCACCGGUAACAAAUCCCAAGUUGGAUACUUUCGAGUAUUCGGCUCAAAGUGCUACAUUCUUGAUAAGCAUCGUCGUUCUAAAUUUGCUUCUAAGUCUCACGAAGGUUUCCUACUAGGUUAUGGCUCAAACUCUCACACUUAUCGUGUCUACAACAAUUUCACCCGAAAGGUUGAAGAGACGGUAGAUGUGAAGUUUGAUGAAUCUAAUGGCUCACAAGUAGAGCAAUUGCCAAUUGAUGUACGAGACAAAGAUCCUUCGGAAGCUAUCCAAGACUUGUCUAUUGGCAAGGUUCGUCCAACGGAGGUGAAGGAGAGUACCUCGUCCGUCCAAGUGGAAGCUUCUACUUCACGACAAGGUGAACCAAGAGUUGACACGGAAGCAUCCACUAGUGGGACACACCAAGAUGAAGAAAACGAGGAAGUGCAUCAAGAUGAACGUCAACGACCUCCUUCUCCACCACGACAAGAGAACGACAACGCCAAUAAUGAAGAAGAUAAAGAAGAAGAAGAAGAUGAAGAAGAAGUUCAGCCAAGAUCCAAGCAAAAGCUUUCACGAGUUCGAGCAAGAAUUGCUAAAGACCAUCCCAUCGAGCAAAUCUACAAUGAUAUUCAAACCGGGAGAAUCACUCGCUCUAAAAUUCGUUUAGCUAACUUUUGUGAAAACUAUUAUUUCAUCUCUAGCAUUGAACCUAUGAAGGUUGAAGAAGCAUUGGAAGAUCCGGAUUGGAUUAACGCUAUGCAUGAAGAGCUACACAACUUCGAGAGAAACCAAGUUUGGACAUUGGUUGAGAAGCCCAACAACAACCACAACAUCAUCGGUACCAAAUGGGUGUUUCGCAACAAGCAAGAUGAAGAUGGACAAGUAGUUCGCAACAAAGCACGUCUCGUCGCCCAAGGCUACACACAAGCCGAAGGUAUGGACUAUGGUGAGACUUAUGCUCCUGUUGCUAGACUUGAGUCUAUUCGCAUCUUACUUGCCUAUGCUAAUCACCAUGAUAUCACAUUGUACCAA
rnacentral:rRNA from 1 species